rnacentral:rRNA from 1 species
ACGGAAGGCAGCAGUGGGGAAUAUUGGGCAAUGGGGGAAACCCUGACCCAGCAACGCCGCGUGAAGGAAGAAGGCCUUCGGGUUGUAAACUUCUUUUACCAGGGACGAUAAUGACGGUACCUAGAGAAAAAGCAACGGCUAACUACGUGCCAGCAGCCGCGGUAAUACGUAGGUUGCAAGCGUUGUCCGGAUUUACUGGGUGUAAAGGGCGUGUAGGCGGAGCUGCAAGUCAGAUGUGAAAUCCCGGGGCUCAACCCCGGAGCUGCAUUUGAAACUGUAGCCCUUGAGUAUCGGAGAGGCAAGCGGAAUUCCUAGUGUAGCGGUGAAAUGCGUAGAUAUUAGGAGGAACACCAGUGGCGAAGGCGGCUUGCUGGACGACAACUGACGCUGAGGCGCGAAAGCGUGGGGAGCAAACAGGAUUAGAUACCCUGGUA